rnacentral:rRNA from 1 species
AUUGAACGCUGGCGGCAUGCCUUACACAUGCAAGUCGAACGGCAGCACGGGAGCAAUCCUGGUGGCGAGUGGCGAACGGGUGAGUAAAGUAUCGGAACGUGCCCAGUCGUGGGGGAUAACGUAGCGCAAGUUACGCUAAUACCGCAUACGAUCUCUGGAUGAAAGCGGGGGAACGCAAGAACGCGCGCGAUUGGAGCGGCCGGUAUCAGAUUAGGUAGUUGGUGGGGUAAAGGCUCACCAAGCCGACGAUCUGGAGCUAGUCUGAGAGGACGACCAGCCACACUGGGGCGGAGACACGGCCCAGACUCCUACGGGAGGCAGCAGUGGGGAAUUUUGGACAAUGGGCGAGAGCCUGAUCCAGCCAGGCCGCGUGCAGGAUGAAGGCGUUCGGGUUGGAAACUGCUUUUGUACGGAACGAAAAGGUUUGGCCUAAGAAGCUGAGCUCAUGACGGUAGCGUAAGAAUAAGCACCGGCUAACUACGUGCCAGCCGCCGCCGUAA